GCAGCAUUGGGAAUGGCUAUAAAAGCAGAGUGGCUUUCAUUCAUUUUAAUCCUCCUUGCAAAUCAGAAAAGAAAGUCUGAUUCAGUUUGAUCUCUCCAAAUUGUGGAGAAACCGAAGAAUAAUGGAAUGAUAAUUGGGUUUGUCUGAGUCUGGUCCGGUGACAGGGAUAGAAUCUGGUAGCUAGGCUGGGUUAGUUUAGUGAGAUUAAAAAAGAGUCUCCACCUUCAUUUAUUUAAAAAGUGGAGUAUCUGCUUCAGCACUGCCCAAAAGGGUGUUUACAUAUAUUUAUAUAAAUAUAGUAUCCUCAGUUUCAAGUCUGAACAAGAAAGAGAAAAACAAACCUCACAUUCAAUAACAAAGACACAGUCAUUGAGAGAUAGGGGUUGCUUAAAUUUUCAAGCUUUUGUAGAAAGAGA